rnacentral:lncRNA from 1 species
UUUCAUGGGUUUAACAUCAACAUUUUCAUCAUUCCUACAAUUCAAUCAAAUUUCAUGGGUUUAACAUCAUCAUUUUCAUCAUUCCCACAAUUCAAUCAAAUUUCAUGGGUUUAACAUCAUCAUUUUUAUCAUUCCCACAAUUCAAUCAAAUUUCAUGGGUUUAACAUCAACAUUUCAUCAUUUCCACAAUUCAAUCAAAUUUCAUAGGUUUAACAACAACAUUUUCAUCAUUCACACAAUCCAAUCAAAUUUCCUAGGUUUAACAACAACAUUUUCAUCAUGCACACAAUUCAAUUAGAUUUCAUGGGUUUAAAAAUAACAUUUUCAUCAUGCCCACAAUUCAAUCAAAUUUCGUGGGUUUAAUAACAAUAUUUUCAUCAUUAAGACAAUUCAAUCGGAUUUCAUGGGUUUAACAUCAAUAUUUCAUCAUUCCCACCAUUCAAUCAAAUUUCAUAGGUUUAACAACAACGUUUUCAUCGUUCACACAAUCCAAUCAAAUUUCAUAGGUUUAACAACAACAUUUUCAUCAUUCAGACAAUUCAAUCAGAUUUCAUGGGUUUAACAUCAACAUUUUCAUCAUUCCCACAAUUCAAUCAAAUUUCAUGGGUUUAACAUCAUCAUUUUCAUCAUUCCCACAAUUCAAUCAAAUUUAAUGGGUUUAACAUCAUCAUUUUUAUCAUUCCCACAAUUCAAUCAAAUUUCAUGGGUUUAACAUCAACAUUUCAUCAUUUCCACAAUUCUAUCAAAUUUCAUAGGCUUAACAACAACAUUUUCAUCAUUCACACAAUCCAAUCAAAUUUCCUAGGUUUAACAACAACAUUUUCAUCAUGCACACAAUUCAAUUAGAUUUCAUGGGUUUAACAA